GCCGUUAAACCCCCAACUUCUGAAAUUUUGACCUCGGAUCAGGUAGGAAUACCCG
rnacentral:rRNA from 1 species